GAUUUCUGGUACGGUGCGCUUGGUCCGCCCCGUUUUUCGGUGGUGAGUACCGAUGCGCGCCUACCAUCCUUCUGGGGAGCAGAUCUACCCUUCACUGGGCCGGGUUUGCGACCUAGAUCGUUUACUUUGAAAAAAUUAGAGUGUUUAAAGCAGGCAUUUUGCUCUGAAUACAUUAGCAUGGAAUAAUAAGAUAGGACUUUGGUUCUAUUUUGUUGGUUUCUAGGACUGAAGUAAUGAUUGAUAGGGACAGUUGGGGGUGCUAGUAUUCCGUGGCCAGAGGUGAAAUUCUUGGAUUCACGGAAGACUAACUUAUGCGAAAGCAUU
rnacentral:rRNA from 2 species